UACGAAGGGGGCUAGCGUUGCUCGGAAUCACUGGGCGUAAAGCGCACGUAGGCCGAUUGUUAAGUCAGGGGUGAAAUCCUGGAGCUCAACUCCAGAACUGCCCUUGAUACUGACGGUCUCGAGUCCGGGAGAGGUGAGUGGAACUGCGAGUGUAGAGGUGAAAUUCGUAGAUAUUCGCAAGAACACCAGUGGCGAAGGCGGCUCACUGGCCCGGUACUGACGCUGAGGUGCGAAAGCGGUGGGGAGCAAAC
rnacentral:rRNA from 1 species